AAUCCUCUUACUACGCAGCAGCCGCGGGGGGCUUAUAACAGCUAUAAUUUAUUUGAUAAUCCCUUACUACUUGGAUAACCGUAGUAAUUCUACAGCUAAUACAUGCGUCAAUACCCCUCUGGGGUAGGAUUUAUUAGAUUGAAACCAACCCCUUCGGGGUGAUGUGGUGAUUCAUAAUAAGCUUGCGGAUCGCAUGGCUUCUGCCGGCGAUGGAUCAUUCAAGUUUCUGCCCUAUCAGCUUUGGAUGGUAGGGUAUUGGCCUACCAUGGCUUCAACGGGUAACGGGGAAUGGGCCGGGGGCGGCGGGCCGGGCGCGGGGCGCGGCGCGCGAGC
rnacentral:rRNA from 1 species